GUAAUUUGCUUACUAAGGUAUGUUUGGAUUCACAUUUAUUAAAUAAAAUUAUUCUUCAUCAACUGGGAAGUAAACUCCUUUUUAAAAAGCAAAAUAUAAAGAAAUAAAUGGUUAGCCAGUUUUUCUGAUCUUGUUAAUGACGGAACCCAUCCAGUACAGCCAAAGGAAAUGCGCUAGUUAUUGAAUAGUGGGAGUGGUGGUAAGUAUAGUGUAAUUGACUAAUGAGAAAAUGAACACAGGUGAUGAUACUCCAGUCAGACCUUCUAUUAAUAAUCAGAAACAUACAUAGACCUUUAAUAAGCAAAUUCACUUGUUCAUUUGAAAGGAUUGUUCUUCCUUUACCAGAAAAAGUUAUUGGGUAAAUAUGUUCAACUUAAAUGUUAUGCUAAAGAACUGCACCAAAACUCUUGUGCUCAAGGUUUGUAUUUAGAAAAUACUGCUGGGCUACAGAACAUACAAGUCUUCUGCUCUAGCUAUUGCUUUUUUUAAGUUAAGAGUAAGCAUUUAAUUAUAAAAUAUGAUUGUCAUUUGCAGCUGUUUGUUUGUGCUUCCCUUCUACUUUUGAAGGAUUUAAGGAAGCAAAACCAUCAACUCUUUUCCCAGACAGAAGUGCAGCUGCAGUUGUUCUUUUCUCAUUUCUUGCUCUACUAGUC
rnacentral:lncRNA from 1 species